rnacentral:rRNA from 1 species
ACCGGANUACUAUGAAUAUUAAAAAUUUAAAACUCAAAGAACUUGGCGGUGUUUUAGACCACUCAGGGGAACCUGUCUCAUAAUCGAUAAUCCACGUUGUACCUGACCUUUUUUUGUAUUCAGUUUGUAUACCGUUGUCGUCAGGUAACUUUUUAGAAAUUAGAAGUUAGCAGCAGAAAUAAAAAAUAAUUUAAUACGUCAAAUCAAGGUGCAGCUAAUGAAAAGGGGAGGAUGGGUUACAAUUAUAUAAUUUAUAAUAACGGAUAGGUAUAUGGAGUAUGUAUUAAUUAUAAGGCGGACUUGAAAGUAAAUUAGGUUAUAUAAAUAACUUGAAUGAGGCUCUGAAACGUGU